AUUGAACGCUGGCGGCAUGCUUUACACAUGCAAGUCGAACGGUAACAGGUUAAACUGACGAGUGGCGAACGGGUGAGUAAUGCAUCGGAACGUGCCCGGUCGUGGGGGAUAACGCAGCGAAAGCUGCGCUAAUACCGCAUACGAUCUGAGGAUGAAAGCGGGGGACCGUAAGGCCUCGCGCGAUCGGAGCGGCCGAUGUCAGAUUAGGUAGUUGGUGGGGUAAAGGCUCACCAAGCCAACGAUCUGUAGCUGGUCUGAGAGGACGACCAGCCACACUGGGACUGAGAAACGGCCCAGACUCCUACGGGAGGCAGCAGUGGGGAAUUUUGGACAAUGGGCGCAAGCCUGAUCCAGCCAUUCCGUGUGCAGGAUGAAGGCCCUCGGGUUGUAAACUGCUUUUGUACGGAACGAAAAGGCUUUCUCUAAUACAGAGGGCUCAUGACGGUACCGUAAGAAUAAGCACCGGCUAACUACGUGCCAGCCGCCGCAGUAA
rnacentral:rRNA from 1 species